rnacentral:rRNA from 1 species
UGGGGAAUAUUGGACAAUGGGGGAAACCCUGAUCCAGCGAUGCCGCGUGUGUGAAGAAGGCCUUCGGGUUGUAAAGCUCUUUCAGACGGAAAGAAACGGUUACGGCUAAUACCCGUGACUAAUGACGGUACCGUAAGAAGAAGCACCGGCUAACUACGUGCCAGCAGCCGCGGUAAUACGUAGGGUGCGAGCGUUAAUCGGAAUUACUGGGCGUAAAGCGUGCGCAGGCGGUUUGGUAAGACAGAUGUGAAAUCCCCGGGCUUAACCUGGGAACUGCAUUUGUGACUGCCAGACUAGAGUGUAGCAGAGGGGGGUAGAAUUCCACGUGUAGCAGUGAAAUGCGUAGAUAUGCGGAGGAACACCGAUGGCGAAGGCAAUCCCCUGGACCUGUACUGACGCUCAUGCACGAAAGCGUGGGGAGCAAACAGGAUUAGAUACCCACGUAGUCCCUGAGCGGGCUGGCAAGGCGCAU